UACGGAGGAUGCAAGUGUUAUCCGGAAUCACUGGGCGUAAAGCGUCUGUAGGUGGCUUAAAAAGUCCACUGUUAAAGAUUGAAGCUUAACUUCAAAAAUGCCGUGGAAACUUUUAAACUUGAGUAUGAUAGGGGUAGAGGGAAUUUCCAGUGGAGCGGUGAAAUGCGUAGAUAUUGGAAAGACCACCAAUGGCGAAGGCACUCUACUGGGCCAUUACUGACACUGAGAGACGAAAGCUAGGGGAGCAAAUGGG
rnacentral:rRNA from 1 species